GUAUGAAAUGAUGGUACCAUCUUUCGGGACUGACACUUAAUGGAGACAAUCCUAAUUUACUGAUCAUAC
ensembl:snoRNA